UGUUGACCAAGUUUCACUGGUGAUGAAACCUCAUAUUGACAAAGCAAGGAUUCUCUUGCAACCUUACACCAAGAGAGUUCAUCGUCAUUAUAGGAAGGCCAAGAAAACUGUCAGUUUAUAUCAUCACCAGGCUCAAGAAAACAUCCAUCACAUGUUGAAGAAUCACCACAUCACCAAGCCAUAUGCUACAAAGGAAUUGGCUUGGUAUCUGGCCUCAGCUUUGCUGGCUUUACCUGUGAUCUUUCUUCUAAAUUUGGUAUCAGAUUUUGGGCGUAAGAAGCCAAAGAAGCAUUCACAUAGACACCAUACAAGCCACACACGUCGCAGGGCUAAAAGAGCACAUUCUGACAAAUGAAGUUCUAUGCGACCACUCUACAUUUUCCAAUUGAAUCAAAGAUCACAUGUUUCAGUCCCAUCGCACUGCAAUAUCCAGGGGGUCGGAUGCCCUGGUUUUUGAGAUGCUAAACACAACAUCCAGAGAUUUUGGAUAUCGAAUUAGAACGAAAUGGUG
rnacentral:misc_RNA from 1 species